UACGUAGGGUGCGAGCGUUAAUCGGAAUUACUGGGCGUAAAGCGUGCGCAGGCGGUUUUGUAAGCCAGAUGUGAAAUCCCCGGGCUUAACCUGGGAAUGGCAUUUGGGACUGCAAGGCUGGAGUGCGGCAGAGGAGACUGGAAUUCCUGGUGUAGCAGUGAAAUGCGUAGAUAUCAGGAGGAACACCGAUGGCGAAGGCGGGUCUCUGGGCCGAUAUUGACGCUGAGGAGCGAAAGCGUGGGGAGCAAACAGG
rnacentral:rRNA from 1 species